CCGAGUGGGCUGGGCUUCUGCGGCCUCGGGCCCUGGGGUCCGCGCUUAGAAGUACGUCGGCGCUCCGAAGGGGCCCAGCGAGGCGGAGGGUUGAGAAGGGGCCGGGCUGUCCACCUCUUCCUGUGCAGAGAUCUCUACAGCGCCCAUGCUGUGACCCCUGCAGCUGAGUGGCACAUGGAGACAGAACCAGCUCCAGGAGGGUGCUCAGGAGUCUGGCGCCCGCCCAGAGCAGGAAUCCAGCGGGACGCCAUUGGCUGUUAACCAGACAGUCGCUUUAAUAAAGCGUCUUUACAGGUAUCGAGUGAAUGUUUAAGGACCUAAAGUUAAGGACAGCUGUCCGGGAGUGAGCACAGCCUGCUGUGUGUCAGGCUCUUUAGAUGCAUCAUCUGAGUCCUGGCACAGCCUUCGGAGUGUGGCGCUGAACCGUCGUGGGUCACUCGCCCCUUGAGAACCUGGUGGAAGCCAUGUAUCCUCUCUCGAGAAGAAUCACCUCACACACACUUUGGCAUUUAACCUCUGAGAGUUUGAAGAUCUAAAAAUGCACACAUGUGUACCUUGUCCCUAGAUUCCAGGUUAUGAAUAACGUGCUUUAAAGAGAGAUAUUAUCUCCAUUUUGCAGUUGAGGAAACUGGGUCAGGAGGAGGUUAAUUAACUCGCAGGUUUGCCUGGUAGAUAGUGGGACCAGUUUGACUCCGUGUCUUCUUGACUCCAAGCCCUUUAUUUUUUCCACUGUCCAAAAGUAGAGAUGCUCAGUAAAUGAGGGAGUGAGUGUACGAAGGUCUGAAAAGGGAGCUUUAAAGUGUAUGUGCCCCAGAAUCUGCCAAACAUCCAUUUGAUAUCAGAAUAGACAAGGAGAAGAUUUUUCUCAAGGAUUUGGAUUUAGCUGCCAACAUUUUUUGUGUUGCUUGCAACUUUUUCCAGUUUUGUCAAGUGAUAAUUUUCCCCCCAUGAUACCAGUUCCAACAGUUUUUGCUUCUGAUGCCAUUUCUGUUUGGCUGUGCACAUUUCUUACUGUCAUGUUGAAUUAUGUUUUCUCUGGAUGCCAAGGCAGAUGGAUGGCACUUUUGUUAUGAUUCUGAUAUAAAUAGCAUCUGUUAGAAACUGGACAUCAAUACUUAUCUGGCAAGUAAAACAAAUAUAUCAGUGGAAUAGCCUUCUAAUCAUGUUUUUGCCUGUGGUUAGUAAGUGCCUCUGAUGGUCUAUGACUCGGUGCUUGUUUGGGGGCAUUGGUUUUAUUAUCCUUGCUAUUUUCUACCUUACCAUACAAGUUUUGAUAUAAUCGUAUUUAUUAAUUCUCUUUAUAUAGAAAACCUAACCUGAAGAUGGUGCAAAGCCAGGGGUGACCUAAAGGGCUCAUCACAGUGCCUCGCUCACACUCAGAACAUUGCUUGGCUUUCGAGAUCAAGGGUAAAAUGAACCCACGCUCCUUACCCUUGCACUGUUAGGUGUUGAUAACUGGGGUCCAUUGAGAACAAAGAUUAAUAGAGUGCUUCCUGCGUGCCAGGCCCCAUGGUAGGUGCUGAGUACAGGAAGAUGAGUGCAGCUGAUUCUCUCCACUGGAAGAGCUCACUGACUAACUAGCAGGGCACACAGAUAAACAGCCGAGAGAAAGGUCUGGAAGCAGAGAAUCAAAGUGAAGCUAGAUGUGGGACUAGAGGGAUGGACUGGGAGGUAUUAAUACUUUAUUCUUGACGUGCCCCGGCCCCUAGCAAGGUCAUGGAAAUAUGGGUGCCUUUGACCUUUUUGUCCUUCUCCUUUUUUAAAAAAAAAAAAUUAUUUAUUUAUUUGGCUGUGCUGGGUCUUAGUUGCGGCAUGCAGGAUCUUUAGUUGCAGUAU